GACGAACGCUGGCGGCGUGCUUAACACAUGCAAGUCGAACGGAAAGGCCCCUUUGGGGGUACUCGAGUGGCGCACGGGUGAGUAACACGUGAGUAACCUGCCCUUGACUUCGGGAUAACUUCAGGAAACUGGGGCUAAUACCGGAUAGGAAUCCUUGCUGCAUGGUGGGGGUUGGAAAGCUUCGGCGGUUUUGGAUGGACUCGCGGCUUAUCAGCUUGUUGGUGGGGUAGUGGCUUACCAAGGCUUUGACGGGUAGCCGGCCUGAGAGGGCGACCGGCCACAUUGGGACUGAGGUACGGCCCAGACUCCUACGGGAGGCAGCAGUGGGGAAUAUUGCACAAUGGGCGGAAGCCUGAUGCAGCAACGCCGCGUGCGGGAUGACGGCCUUCGGGUUGUAAACCGCUUUCAGCAGGGGCGAAGCUUGUGGUGACGGUACCUGCAGAAGAAGCACCGGCUAACUACGUG
rnacentral:rRNA from 1 species